rnacentral:rRNA from 1 species
GACGUAGGGCGCGAGCGUUGUCCGGACUUAUUGGGCGUAAAGAGCUCGUAGGCGGCUUGUCGCGUCGGCUGUGAAAACCCGCGGCUCAACUGGGCGGGGUCAGCGGAUACGGUGUAGCUGGAGCAAGCUAGGGGGCAAUGGAAUUCCCGGUGUAGUGGUGGAAUGCGUAGAUAUCAGGAGGAACACCAGUGGCGAGGGCGGUUGCCUGGAGCUUUGCUGACGCUGAGGCGCGAAAGCGUGGGGAGCGAUCCGG